UGUGCAGCUCUACAGCUAAUUUGAAACUCAUGUUCAUUUUAACAUAUUUCAUUUUAGACACCUACAAAGACGCCAUCAGGCUAAUGAAUCAAUAUCAGACCGGCUGCAACGCCUCUGAGCUACAGUCUGAGGCAGAGCAGGAGGGAUAGCUGCCAGAGAAAUGAUUCAGGAAGCCAAUCCAUCGUUUUGGGGACUCUGAUGAGAGUGAAGAAGAGCCAGAAAAUUCAGCUGGUGUUUCAGUUGGAGCCUCAAGCCCAAACCAAUUACACUGGCAGAGUAAGGAAUAAUCUCUUAACAUCAAAAUAACAAAAUCAUAAUAUUAAUAAUAUAGAUAUGGUUUACCUUGUUAGUGCUAAAGAUAUUCCCCUCUCCUUGUAUCCAUUCCUCCAGCUCCACCAUCUCACUGAGUGCCAUGCAGCAGAGUCACUACUCCUCAACCUGGAGGAAACUGUCUAGGUAAAGGGGCCCCGUCUAGAUUAAUUGUUUUUCACUGGCAAUCCAUUCAUGGGGUUGAAAUAGGUAGUUCAUACCAAAAUGUUGAAACAUACAAAUUCAUGUUCCCCAUGACCAGAGAUUUUUUGUUUGCCAUUGUUUGGCCCUGUAGCUCGCAGCAUACCAUUGGUUAACAGAUCACAACCAUUUAAUAGCAAUUUCUCUCCCUUAGCACCUGACCAUGGGGCCGGACCCCAACACCCUUCACCACCUCAACUCCCUGCACCUGUAUUUAACAUGAGGAGAGUUACUCAAGGAACGGUAGUCCCUCCUCACCUCCCUCCACCUCCCGCACCGGCCCUCAACAUGAGGCGAACAGAGGAGCCCUCUUCAAGCCUGGCCUACAGACCAACAUGGCGAGGGGGAGGAAUGACCGAGACCAUUCCCUGCUCUGUGGCUGAGGUCCACAUCCUUAGCCUGCUGGAGACCAUUAAACAACAACAAGACCAGCUUGUGGCAAAGGUGAACUACCUCAGCAGCAGGCUGAACAGCAACCCGGGGCCAGGUGUUGAGAUGCCGGACAAUAUCCAGUUUCCCCUGGAACAAGUGGAGGCAUUUGAAAUGUUUUUAAAGGAACCGUCAAAUGGCCCAGCUCGUCAGAGCGUGGUGCUGUGAGGAAAAACACAGUGACACGGUCAGCCACGGACGCAGAGGUCACCAAGCACGCAAUCAGGUGGUUCAACCUGGCAGCGGAUCGGGCAACGAGGAGACGUGUCCCGCCUCAAGCCACACAAACGGAGUAAUAGGAGAAAUAAGCAAUAA
rnacentral:lncRNA from 1 species